rnacentral:rRNA from 1 species
AACCUGCCCAAGAGAUCGGGAUAACACCUGGAAACAGAUGCUAAUACCGGAUAACAACAGAUGAUGCCUAUCAACUGUUUAAAAGAUGGUUCUGCUAUCACUCUUGGAUGGACCUGCGGUGCAUUAGCUAGUUGGUAGGGUAACGGCCUACCAAGCGAUGAUGCAUAGCCGAGUUGAGAGACUGAUCGGCCACAUUGGGACUGAGACACGGCCCAAACUCCUACGGGAGGCAGCAGGG